rnacentral:rRNA from 1 species
GCAUGGCUGUCGUCAGCUCGUGUUGUGAAAUGUUGGGUUAAGUCCCGCAACGAGCGCAACCCUUAUCCUUUGUUGCCAGCGCGUAAUGGCGGGAACUCAAAGGAGACUGCCGGUGAUAAACCGGAGGAAGGUGGGGAUGACGUCAAGUCAUCAUGGCCCUUACGGCCUGGGCUACACACGUGCUACAAUGGUCGGUACAAAGGGUUGCCAAGCCGCGAGGUGGAGCUAAUCCCAUAAAGCCGAUCGUAGUCCGGAUCGCAGUCUGCAACUCGACUGCGUGAAGUCGGAAUCGCUAGUAAUCGUGAAUCAGAAUGUGACGGUGAAUACGUUCCCGGGUCUUGUACACACGA